GACGAACGCUGGCGGCGUGCCUAAUACAUGCAAGUCGAACGCAGUGGGGACGGGUGAGUAACACGUGGGUAACCUCCCAUCAGAGGGGAUAACACUUGGAAACAGGUGCUAAACCGAUACUCAUGGAUGGACCCGCGGUGCAUUAGAUAGUUGGUGAGGUAACGGACCACCAAGGCCAGGAUGCAUAGCAUACCUGAGCGGGGGAUAGGCCACACUGGAAUUGAAACACGGCCCAGACCCCUACGGGAGGCAGCAGUAGGGAAUCUGAGGUUAUGGACGAAAGUCUGACCGAGCACAGCCGCGUGAGUUAAGAAGGUUAGCGGAUCUUAAAACUCUGUUGUUAGAGAAGCGGUAUUUAACGAUAAAGCAUCGGCUAACUCCGUGCCAGCAGCCGCGGUAAUUC
rnacentral:rRNA from 1 species